rnacentral:rRNA from 1 species
UACGUAGGGUGCGAGCGUUGUCCGGAAUUAUUGGGCGUAAAGAGCUUGUAGGCGGUUUGUCGCGUCUGCUGUGAAAAUCCGGGGCUCAACCCCCGGACUUGCAGUGGGUACGGGGCAGACUAGAGUGUGGUAGGGGGAGACUGGAAUUCCCGGUGUAGCGGUGAAAAUGCGCAGAUAUCGGGGAGGAACACCGGUGGCGAAGGCGGUUC